AUGCUGACCAAAGCUUCUUGGACACCCUUGGUUUUGGUUACAUGCAAACACAACCAGAAAGUCCAAUUGGAGAGCAGGCAACUCCAUCAACUCAGCAUCAAGCAACACCAUCAACGCAGCAACAUUCUGCAAUAAUAGAGAAAGGAAAAUCCAACAAAGGAAAAAAUUGGUGUAGUGAUGAGGACAAGGUUCUCAUAGCAGCAUGGGCAAAUACAAGUUUGGAUAUUGUUGGGACUGAUCAAAACCGAGAUGCUUAUUGGGCUAGAAUUUCAGAGUACUACAACACACACAAGGAAUCGUCAUGGCCGGAGCGUAAUCCUAAUGCAAUCAAUUGCCGUUACACAUUGAUUAACAGAGAGACCUCCAAAUUUUGUGGUUGCCUUCAGCAGAUUUUAAAUAAGGAAGAAAGUGGAAGGACUAUAGCAGAAAAGACAAACGAUGCACACAUUCUGUUCAAGGAAAUGGAUGU